CUCCGCCCUCCCAGCAAGACUCCAGCAGGAUCUCGUCACUGAUUAGCAACGUGUGCUUCCACUCUGAUUGUGUACCAGGAGCCAAUAUGAUAAAGAAGCUCAAGAAGAUCUCUUCUGUAAAAAACUCUGAACAGUGUGGGAAAGGAGACUUUUUGGAAUACUGAAGAGGCGGCAGAUAUGGGAAGCCAAAGGAGACAAUAAUCGCCUGGAAAUGUGCAGUAACAAAAGGUGCAUUGGCCAUGAACAAUGCUGCCGACACCUCAGCCAACAGGACAGGGAGGACAGCGACGUCAGAAUGUGUCUGGAGUCAUUCAGAAGACCCAAUCACUAACCUUUGGGACGUCAUCAGUUACGUGACCUUCCCUGCACGAAACGAGCAGCACUUGGAGGAAAGUGCAGAGAAAGAAACAUUCAUUUGUAUUCACUUUGUGCAUCACAGUGGAGUUCAGCCUUGAAGGAAGCCCCCCUUCAGCUGAAGGCAUUUUUAGGACCACAUCUGCAUAUAAACCAGGAAAACAAAAAACAUUUUGUGUUCAUUCUAUUUAACAUUUUUUCAUCUGUGGAAAUAUAACACUGAAGGUCAAAGAACCGGCCAGCACAAACAGACUCACAGAUCCAAUCAGAAGAACACUGUAGAAUGAAGCUCAGAAGUUGGAGAUCUCAGUGUAUUACCAUGGCCAACUUCAAGGUCAUGAAACAAUCCCAUCCUAUACGGAGGGUAAACCAGAGGACAGGGAUGUGUGCUGGAUGAGGUGACGCCAAGACUCGGAUCGAGGCAUUUUCAACUGCGAAAACGAGUGGAAUAAAAGACGUGUGCAGGGUGUGGGAUGGUGCUGCUAGUUUUUACUGAGAAAGUUAGAAUUUAGAGUUAGAUGGAGGGGACGGAAUCACAACCACUAAAAGCAGCAGUCAAAAGGCAAAGAUGAGGAAGAAGAUGAAGAUGUCAUCACCAUCUUAAGCUUUGGUCACAUGUACCCAUACGGGGGUUGACUGGUUCUGGAGCCACUGGAAAUAUAUUCCCUUUUUUGACAUGUGGUUCAGGAGGGUCAUCCUGGAACUGAAGAUGUACAGACGUCCGCUCACCAAUUCAAAUACGGCUGUCUGGAUGCAUUUGGGGUUUCCUAGAGGCAGAUGCUCUCACCAGGCCUUUCUUCUGGCUUUCGGGAAGAGGUGCCUUGGACUGGACCACUGGACACCUGGGGGUGGUGGACUGUGUGUGGGUUGUCUGAGCUCCUGGCCCCUCUUUCUCUCUGUGGUGGUCCUGCUCGGGGGACAUGUUGGGUUGUCUGGGAGUUUUAAGGGACUUGUUUUCUGGGGGUGGUCCAGGGAACCCUCUGGCUGCCUGUGCCAGUGCUACUCUCACUGGGCUUUGGGCCAGGGGUUGUGGGGUUCACGUCAGCCUUUUUACACUGAGUGACAUAAUGGAACAUUCUAGUAAACACACACUCACCUGAACACACCUGGUUACUCACCUCUGCACAAAAAGGCUGUACACAUCUGAUUAUUGAAAUAUCUGUUUGUGUGUGUUAGCUUGUCUGUGUACAGAUGUUUGUGUGGGUCUGUGGGAAUAUGUGUGCAGAGAGGUUUUGUGUGUAGAUGUGUGUAGUCGAGCAAACAAAUGCAGCCCUUCUGUAAGAAGUUUUUACAGCAUUAAUAACAUUUAGUAACUUUUGUAGCAUUUUAUACUUUUACUUUUUUUUUUUUUUUAUAAGACCCACUCAUGUUUUCUUGUUCAGAAAUAUUUUACAAGAAUAAAAGCUCAACUUAAAGAAAAAAGUAAGGUUUUAUACAAGUAUAGACUCUGGGGGUCUUUAGCAAAACCUCUAUGGUUAAAGUAAACUUUGUUCUAAAAAACAGGUUUUCAGCCUUUGUCUAUUUAAUCAUCAAAACAUUAUAGAAACACAUUGUUUUCCCUUAAGUCCUGCAAACACUAUAAAGUCUGUUGGAUGAAAAAUAUUCAAGUAU